GUCCACGCCGUAAACGAUGAGUGCUAGGUGCUGUGGGUAUUGACCCCCGCGGUGCCGCAGCCAACGCGUUAAGCACUCCGCCUGGGGAGUACGGCCGCAAGGCUAAAACUCAAAGGAAUUGACGGGGGCCCGCACAAGCGGUGGAGCAUGUGGUUCAAUUCGACGCAACGCGCAGAACCUUACCUGGGUUAAAUCCACUCAAACCUGACAGAGAUGUCGGGGUGCCUUUCGGGGAAUGAGUGAGAAGGUGCUGCAUGGCUGUCGU
rnacentral:rRNA from 1 species